UAAUACGUAGGCAGCAAGCGUUGUUCGGAAUUACUGGGCGUAAAGAGUGUGUAGGCGGUGUUCUAAGUCUGUUGUGAAAUCUCCCGGCUCAACUGGGAGGGUGCGGCGGAGACUGGAAUGCUAGAGUAUGGGAGAGGUAAGCGGAAUUCCUGGUGUAGCGGUGAAAUGCGUAGAUAUCAGGAGGAACACCUGUGGUGUAGACAGCUUACUGGACCAUGACUGACGCUGAGACACGAAAGCGUGGGUAGCAAACAGGAUUAGAUACCCUGGUAGUCCACGCCCUAAACGAUGCAUACUUGGUGUGAGCCAUUCAUUUGGUUCGUGCCGGAGCUAACGCGUUAAGUAUGCCGCCUGGGGAGUACGGUCGCAAGGCUG
rnacentral:rRNA from 1 species